rnacentral:lncRNA from 1 species
AUGAGCCCAGGGUGGGGAGCUGCACGCAGGGCGCGGUGGGGUCCCUUUCUGAAGAAAGGACGACAGAAGCACCCCGAGAGAAGCUCACACCUUUAUUCCCGCUCAGGGUGGGGAGGGGUCCCGCAGCUGGCAGACAGGGCACCUCCAGGCUGGUGGCUCUCACCUCUUGCCGGCUGCAAUGCCAACACCAAGAUGACCCGAGGGCCCCGGGUCGGCAGGCAGCCCCUCCCUCCGCUGCACCCUGCCACGGUACCUGGCAGCUUCAGCCACUUGGGCACCUUGCCCAGAUCCCUCCUGACCGGCUGGGCCGUCUCGGGGCGGGAUUCAGGGAGCCCCGCUGCCCCCGCCUCAGCCGUUGGCUCCAAGUCACGGGGUGCAGGGUCAGGGGCUGGCAUCGGGGGCGGGGCCCCAGCAGCCCUGGGCAUGCACCUGGGGGGCAGGAGGCCGAGAUGCAGGAGGGCCGAUGCGCCACAGCAGGGACUCGCCCCUCCCCGCCGCGGGCACUCACCUGGCCACCAGCAAGUCAGCCGCAGACGGGGAGACGGUGCGUUCCAGCAGCCUGGGCUCCAGGAAGAGGCCUGCGGGACACCCGGCCCACCUCAGGCCAUGGAGGGCCCCCCUCCCCCUGCUGCUGCUCUGCUCCGGGAGGGGACGCGGCCUGGGAACAGGGUACUGGGCACACAUCUCCCUCCCGGAUCUCCUCCCCGCCCACCUGUUGGUUCCUCAGCUCCAAAGUGCACGAGGGCAGCAGGGAAGAGAUCUGCCUGCAGGGAGAACAGAAGGGGGCUCGGGGCAUCAGGUGGGCACCGUGGGCAGAGGCCGCGGCGGGUGGGCAGGGCGGGCCGCAUCCACUUUCGUGGUGGCCUCUUGGGGGCUGCAUGGGAAGCUAAGCGCCACACACCGGGCCCAGGGCUCUGCCGACCAGGGCCACGCCCCGGCCAGGUCCCCACCGCAAGCGCAGUCCGCUGCCCUGUUCCCGGGAACUGCCCCCCACCCCUCCCGGCUCUACUGGGUCCCGCUGUGCCACCCCCCACCCCCAGCACGAGCCGGGCUGGCUGUGAGACCACAGGGGUCCCUCCGGGAGCCAGCCCCAACACCAGCAGGACGUUCUCACGGCACAUGCAUUCGGCAUUCCUGAUGACCCAGGAGAACAGGCCUAGAAGCCCCCCACCCUCAGCGGAGCCUGUAAGAGGCCGACGGGUCAGGGGAGAUGAAAACAGAUACACGGGACUGGUGUGGAGGAAGAGAACAGGCAGUGUUGCUCAGAGGACCCAGAGCGCGGGGGUCUGUGCAGCAGCCGGUGGGCUGCCGUCAGGGGGAGGGGGAGCCCCCAUACCCGCUGAGCGGGGGCCCCUCAGCCGGCCCAGGCCCAGGCAUGGCGAGCGGGGGCUCUGGGAGCCAAGGCGCUUUGAAAGUCCUGGGCGGGGAGGUACCGGGUCGGCUACCUUUGAGUGUCCGCCACCCAGAACCCCAAAGCUCAGGCUCGAGGUCCCUGACUCCGCACCGGGCGGCCACCUGCAAGUGACUGGUGUGGAGCCCUGGCCACAGGGAGGGCGCCGCACCGGGGCCCCCACACCCCGCCCUGGGCGUCCAGGAACUGCCUCUCCAGAGUCUCCUCCCACGCGGGGUAGUGGUGCGGGGCUCUCGCUCAGGUGCAGGACAGGGAUGGGUCACAUAGGCCCUGACGUGCUCCCUGGAGGCAGGGGCUAA